AUGUCUAAUUCCCUGAGGUGUCUACUACUGAUAACAAGAGUGAGUUUGGAGAAGAGGGCACUGGAAAGCUACUGCGAUGGAUUCAGGGUAGCAGACACCAGCCAUUUUCUUCUCAGUCUUGUGGGAAAUCGACCAGGCUAUACGGUUCAGGGAGACAAUGAAGCUAAUUACAUUCGUUAUGACAGGCGAGCCGGGUGGAAGGAGAUGAGCACACUGUUCAGAGGAGAAGGUUGAGAACUACUCUCUAGACAUUGAGGAGACAGGACAACCCACAGACAGUUGAUGGUGAGGUGACUGCACAGCUAAACAAACACGAUGAAAGAAAACUUUAUAUUCAUGAUCUUAAUUUGGCUCCAUUCAGCUUGAGGCUUGAUGUAAGUCAGAUGGCAUGACUGGCAACAUCACACCUAUUCUCACAGGACCAAAUGCCAUAUGUCUGAAAAAGUAUCUUCUUUGACGGAGAGACUGUAAUUUUCUAAUUUAGAGCUGAUGUUUUACUGUUGUGAGCUGAGUAAACG
rnacentral:lncRNA from 1 species